rnacentral:tRNA from 1 species
AUUUAUGUAGUUUAAAGAAAACAGUACAUUUUCAUUGUAAAAAUAACAUUUAUGUUCAUAAAUA